GACGAACGCUGGCGGCGUGCUUAACACAUGCAAGUCGAACGGUAAGGCCCCUUCGGGGGUACACGAGUGGCGAACGGGUGUGUAACACGUGAGCAACCUGCCCUUGACUCUGGAAUAACAGUUGGAAACAGCUGCUAAUACUGGAUAUUCAUCGUCUCCUUCCUGGGGGGUGGUGGAAAGCUCCGGCGGUCAGGGAUGGGCUCGCGGCCUAUCAGCUUGUUGGUGAGGUAAUGGCUCACCAAGGCUUCGACGGGUAGCCGGCCUGAGAGGGCGACCGGCCACACUGGGACUGAGAUACGGCCCAGACUCCUACGGGAGGCAGCAGUGGGGAAUAUUGCACAAUGGGCGCAAGCCUGAUGCAGCAACGCCGCGUGCGGGAUGACGGCCUUCGGGUUGUAAACCGCUUUCAGUAGGGACGAAGGGUGACUGACGGUACCUACAGAAGAAGAACCGGCUAACUACGUG
rnacentral:rRNA from 1 species